UCGACGAUUCCUCCACCUUUCCACAGCUCGACGAUCUUUCCUCCUUUCCCGGCUCGGCGAUUUCUCCUCCUUUCCGCGGCUCGACGAUCCUCCUCCUUUCUGCGGCUUGGCGAUAUCUCCUUUUUCUUUUUUCUGUAUGUCGGAACGAGUGUAGCAAUCUAUCUAUCUUUUUUUGUUCUUUGUCUAUCGUAUCGUCUCCGUAAAAAAAAAUUCUCCCCGAGUUUGAUUUCGGUUCUCGUAUUUAUAAUUGUAGGGAUGGUGAGAGAUAUUUUGAGGGAUUCGAAAUUCGAAUUUGAAUUUUGAAUAGGUUGUUGUGGUUGGUUGAAAGAUAUUUGGAAUUUUGUUGGGAAUUUGAAAUUCGAAAUCGAAUUUUGAAUAGGUUGUGUUGGAUGGUUGGAGGGUAUUUUGGAAAUUUGUUGGAAUUCAAAAUUCGAAAUUCGAAUUUUGAAUGGGUUAUUGGAGGAUAUUUUGGGAAUUGGUUAGGAAUUCAAAAUUCGAAAUUCGAAUUUUGAAUGGGUUGUUGUAGGAUAUUUUGGAAAUUGGUUUUGAAUGGGUUGUUGGAUGAUAUUUUGGGAGUUGGUUGGAAAUUCGAAAUUCGAAAUCGAAUUUAGAAUGGGUUGUUGGAGGAUAUUUUGGCAGUUGGUUGGGAAUUCGAAAUUCGAAAUCGAAUUUUGAAUGGGUUGUUGGAGGAUAUUUUGGGAAUUGGUUGGGAAUUCGAAAUUCGAAAUCGAAUUUUGAAUGGGUUGUUGGAGGAUAUUUUGGGAAUUGGUUAGGAAUUCGAAAUUCGAAAUCGAAUUUUGAAUGGGUUAUUGGAUAGUUAAAGGAUAUUUUGGUUAGUCGGUUAGGGAUUCGAAAUUCGAAAUCGAAUUUUGAAUCGGUUGUUGGGUGGUUAGGUAUUCAAAAUUCGAAUGGAUGUUGGUUGGGGAUUCCAAAUUCAAAAUUGAAUUUUGAAUGGGUUGUGGGAUGGAUAGGUAUUCAAAAUUCGAAUGAAUGUUGGUUGAGAGAUAUUUUAGGAGUUGGUUCGAAGUUCGAAAUCGAAUUUCGAAUAGGGUUAUUAGGAUAACAGAUAUUUUCUAGGGGUUUAAACAUUUAAAAUCGAAUUUGAAUAUGAUAUUCGAAAUUGAAUUUUCAAACGUGGGUAAAAAUGUGGGCCGUGAUCCCAUGAAUUGGGCUGAAAUUGGGUCCACUUUGAUGAAACUUGUUGGGCACAAUUAUUCAUUGGGCUAAGAUGAGGCCCGAAUUAUUGUAAUAGGCCUAAAAUUUUAAAGGGCUUUCAUGAGGCCCAUUAAUUCAUAUUUAUGAAUGGGCAUAUUGUAGAUUUUAAAUUGUAAUUAUUGGCCCCAAAAUUUUCUGGUCAACAUGAAACCUAUCAAAAUUGUUUGAGUCUGAAUCUAAUCGGUUUCAAUUAUGAUUAGGAUUUUUUUUUUUUCACUUCAAACAGC
rnacentral:lncRNA from 1 species